GUCCCUGAAGGGGAUGCUGGCUCUGCUUACUGUUCCUGCUGGGGCUCACUCACAGCAGCUUGCGUAUUUGUGGAGCGUACUUACUGUCCUUUAACUUUGAACUGACCUCCUGAUUUUAGUGUGUCUUGACCAGGUCUUUCAGGUGAGACAUCUUUCUUCCAGUGAAAAAUGUCAAGUUUAUAAAUGAGAAGACUGAUUCCUGAUGAAGCUGACCACUUUCUCUUAUCACCUGGGUUGGAUCCAGUCAACAAACAGCACGCUAGCAACUGACUGAAGCAUGAGAGGAGGACACCAUGUGUAUUAUACCUUCUCUGGGCUUUCCCACCAACCAAAAUGGCUCCAUUCUUCUCUAGCCUUGCUUCCACCGGACAGUCUUCUUCCUCGGCUCCCCUCUCACUUUUGUUAACAUUCUCUUUACACUUUAGAUUUAGGGGUCAUCAUGGACAUGCAUCUCUUCUAAUCCCUUGUUCGUUCUUCUCCAGUAGCAUGGUGAUCUUAGCACUGUACAGUAUCGCCAUGGGGGGACAUGGUCUAUGAAAAUCAAACUCUGAGGAUGUUUUAUUUUCUUAUUGGGAUCAUGAGUAAUAUUGGGAAAAAUCUGAAUGUGUUUCAGAGAAUCAACUCACUGUGAGAGCAUUAGCCCAGAAGUGGUGCUGGAAGUGGCGAUUUUAGUCAUAAGUGUGUUGGGUGUGGACUGGAGCUGUGAGUGAUGAACAGAUAAGGCAUCCUUCUCAAGGAGGGUUUUAACAAGAAGACACCGAGUCUGAUCCUGUCUAAGACAAUUCUGUUAACUCUUAAUUUCUUCAUCUGGAAAAUGAAGAUGAUGAUUAUGCCUGUUUCAGGCUAUGCAGUGGCUCAGCCACCACCAUACAGUUAAAGCAGUGAAAUGUGAAGAAAACCAAAGGUGAGACCAAGUCUCCGUGAUUCCAAUAAAUGGAUUCGUACAGCAGUGACAGCUACCAGGAGAGAUUCUGGAAGCACCGUGAACCUUGGAGUCAGAAGUGUCUACCCAUACUUCUGGGAAGACUGCAGACACUGCAAACACCAAUCAAAGACAGACAAUCGUCUCCAGGAGGAUGGUUGAGGAUCUGGGUUACAGUAACAACUCUGAGUAGGAAUCUUGACUGUGUUUUUGACUAUG